rnacentral:lncRNA from 1 species
UUUGUAAUAUCUUAUACAGUAUAUAUUAUGUGAACAUACUUAAAAUGAUAAAUCAGUACUUCCUCCGUUCCGAAUAAUAAGUCACUAGGGAUUAUCUUCCGACCAGGUGAAAAAGGGCAAAUGGACCUUUAUGGCCUCGGUUCAAAUUCUAAACAAUACAAGGUCAUGAUUGGAUUGUCGUUUUCAUUAGCAAUACAGCUGUAAACAAUACACGCCUCCGGCCGUCGUUUCGCUUUCGGCCGGAAAUCGCUACUUGCCCGGUAAAUUACACCUGUAGAUAAAAUACCUCUGUAUUGAAAUACACCGAUACCAAGCGCGGCCUUAGCGUCUUCCACCUCCGCCUCCGCUCACGCACUCGCCCUCCACCUCCACCUCCGACCUCGACCUCGACCUCCCCCUUUGGCCCCGCCCUCCACCUCCACCUCCACCCAGAUCCUGGCGCCUCCUCCUCCAAGACUGCGCCCGGGUCCAAGCGCCUCCACUUCCAGGUCCAGGCGCUUCUCCUCUCCCGAUCUCGGGUGCACGUCCAGGUCCAGGCGCUCCUCCUCUCCAUCUCCAGGCCCACGCGCUCCUCCACUCCACCUCCAGGCCUUGUCCUAGAGUUGCCACUACCGGUGGUGCCGGUGCUGCACACGGCACACCUAGGUUGAGGUUAUUCCUGGAGCUCCUGCUGGGGUUGGUUGAUGCCCACAUUCAUCUCAUCAACCUGAAUUUGGUAAAAACUCCAUCAAUAUUUGGCAGUAAUGUGAACAAGUUAUUGUCAACUGAAUUUGAAGCGAUAAUUUGAACACACGAGUACUCCAUGAGUAUCACAAUUCAGAGAUACUCUAAUGAUUCAAAGUAGAUGCUGACAUAUUUACUGACAACAUAAUCAUUUACUAUCAAAUGAGAGGGAGUGAUGUGAAUUUGGCAGGAGGUUCAUCUCACGAACCUGAAUUUGGCAAUUUGACUUGCAUGAUGCUUUUCGUACAAGAUCAUAAUCUUAAUCAGAGUAAUAUAAUGAUCAUAAAAUGAGACUUGUGUCAAUUGAUUAGAGUAAUCAGAGCAUUUCAGGAAAAUGUGAAAACAUGAUCAUUUUGCAGGAAGAUUAGUAGGUACAGUGACAUACCUAAUCAUUUUGUGAUACAAUAUCCUUGUGAUCCCAGCCUUUCUGGGAGCACCAUUUGGUGCAUGCAGUUUUCUUUGUUGUUGACUGAGUGUUUCUGUCACGCCUAGGUCACAAGCGAUUGGGAGGGCUCGUUCUCCUGGGCAUGCUUCUCGUUAUUCUGAGCAUGGUCACAACAACUGGUCAAUGACAACGGUAGUUUGACAACAACAAGAGGUUAAUACCAAUACCAACAAAAGUAUGUUAAUAACAACAUCAACAACAACAGGUUAAUAACAACAUCAUGAGCAGCAGGUUAAUAACAACAGACAACAGCAGUAGUCUGACACCUACUCUGAGGCACAACAACAACAGCACCUCCAGCAACUUGACAUGGCAGCAAGAAUUUGACAUCAGUAUCAGUACUUGAUAGCAGCAAUUCUCCUACAACAGUAAUCCAACACUAGUAGACCACUUUGACAACAACAACAAGAAGAUGUAGAACAUGGUUGUGCCAGACCUCAACUGCACUCCACGUGCAGAUGAAAUGGAUGAAGAUCCAGUAGUUGACAUGGAUGAAGAUGCAAUACUUCAAAUGGAUGAAGAUGCAGGUACAAUUACAGUAGCAUUUAAGACUAUUUUCUUCUAAUGGAUGAAGAUGAGGCUUGAGAUGAGACUUGACAUGUGUGGAGUAUGAUCAUUUGUGUAACUCUUUGUUGUGAUACUGUUAUUUGUAUGAUCAUUUUAACUCCUCAAGUUAGAAGAAGAGAGAAGUGCUACUCCUACUCCUACUCCUCAAGUUAGAAUUAUUAACACGAAAACAUCCAGUUAAAAGAAAAGUUUCAUUGUGGAUUUGUCAUGUUUAAUAAAGCUUCACAAUGUGCAAUGAAAAAAGCAUCACAAUUUAAUCGUAUUUUUUCAUUAAAAAAUCAAUCAUAUUUCUACACCACAUUUUUGGACAAUGAAUGUUGAGGUUUUUCUAACCAACAAUUCUGAACAAGCACAAAUUGCAUUCGUAUAGCAAGGACAAAGAAAGAGAAGAAGGUGUUCACAACUGCCAACAGCAGAGCACACUAGCAGCUGGCUCCGGCGUCUCUCCACAUAAACAAGAACUGCAUAAACAAGAACCAAAGAAAAGAAGAUUUAAUUAAUUAACUGAAAUUAAACAGCAACAGUACACUAGCAGUACACUAAGAGAGAAGAAGAGAUAGAGAGAAUUAACUGAAAUUUACAGUAAUUAACUGAAAAAAAUUCAGUUAACUAAAAAAAUUACGAACUGAAAUUCAAACACUAGUCCUUGCAAAAUUUACAACAAUCUGAUCUCGUGGGAAGACAAGAGAGGAAGAGGAGAAGAGAAGAGAAGAGAGUACUCCAUAUAUUAGGCCAAAAUUAUUUGUACUCCUAGCAUAUUACUCCAGCAUACUGUACUCCAAAAUUCUUUGUACAUCAAUAACUGCAUUCAGAAAAGAGAAGAGCUACCUCAACUACUGAAAUUACUAGAACACUCCUCUUGUAAGCAGAGAAGAGAAGAGAAGUUGCAAUACGGUUAAUGGAGUACUCCUUUAGCGAUGCACUGCUACUGUUAAGCACAGAAGAGAAGAGAAGAGAAAGAGAAAGAGAAGAGAAGAGAAGCUGCGCCAUAUCAAGUUUUUGAAUAACUACUGCACUAGGUCAGCUACUGCUCUGAAAAAUUACUGCACCAGAUCAAAC